rnacentral:rRNA from 1 species
UACGUAGGCAGCGAGCGUUGUUCGGAAUUACUGGGCGUAAAGCGUGCGCAGGCGGUUUGCUAAGAGAGAUGUGAAAUCCCCGGGCUUAACCUGGGAACUGCGUUUCUAACUGGCAGGCUUGAGUGUGGCAGAGGGGGGUGGAAUUCCACGUGUAGCAGUGAAAUGCGUAGAUAUGUGGAGGAACACCGAUGGCGAAGGCAGCCCCCUGGGCUAACACUGACGCUCAUGCACGAAAGCGUGGGGAGCAAACAGG